rnacentral:rRNA from 1 species
GAUGAACGCUGGCGGCGUGCCUAAUACAUGCAAGUCGAACGCUUCACUGCGGUGAAGAGUGGCGUACGGGGUGGUAAUAGAUAAGUAACCUGGUAUCUACAGGUGGUGAAGUGGGGGAAACGUCGGCUAAGACCGCAUAGGUGUAGAGAUCGCAUUAACUCUAUAAGAAAAGUGCUACGGGACUGGUAGAUGAUGGAUUUAUGGCGCAUUAGCUUGUUGGUAGGGUAACGGCCUACCAAGGCGACGAUGCGUAGCCGACCUGAGAGGGUGACCGGCCACACUGGGACUGAGACACGGCCCAGACUCCUACGGGAGGCAGCAGUAGGGAAUUUUCGACAAUGGGGGAAAGCCUGACCGAGCAACGCCGCGUGUAGGAAGAAGGACUUCGUUAUGUAAAGUUCUGUCAUCCGGGAAGAACGGCGGAUAUCGAAAACGAUCGCGAAGUGACGGUACCCGAUAAGAAAGCACCGGCUAACUACGUG